GCCUUCGUGGUGUAGCGGUCAGCACGGUCGGCUCGUAUUCGAGAGGUCCGUGGUUCGACUCCCGGCGACAGCA
rfam:Stegodyphus mimosarum contig40533, whole genome shotgun sequence.